GCGGGAGUAACUCAGUGGUAGAGUGCAACCUUGCCAAGGUUGAAGUCGAGGGUCCGAAUCCCUUCUCCCGCUCCA
rnacentral:tRNA from 1 species